rnacentral:rRNA from 1 species
AUUGAACGCUGGCGGCAGGCCUAACACAUGCAAGUCGAACGGUAGCACAGAGAGCUUGCUCUCGGGUGACGAGUGGCGGACGGGUGAGUAACGUCUGGGAAACUGCCCGAUGGAGGGGGAUAACUACUGGACACGGUAGCUAAUACCGCAUAACGUCGCUAGACCAAAGGGGGGACCUUCGGGCCUCCCACCCCCGGACGUGCCCAGAUGGGAUUAGCUAGUCGGUGGGGUAAUGGCGCACCUAGGCGACGAUCCCUAGCUGGUCUGAGAGGGUGACCAGCCACUCUGGAACUGAGACACGGUCCAGACGCCUACGGGAGGCAGCAGUGGGGAAUAUUGCACAAUGGGCGCAAGCCUGAUGCAGCCAUGCCGCGGGUAUGAAGAAGGCCUUCGGGUUGUAAAGUACUUUCGGCGGGGAGGAAGGCGGUGAAGUUAAUAGCUUCACCGAUUGACGUUACCCGCAGAAGAAGCACCGGCUAACUCCGUGCCAGCAGCCGCGGUAA